rnacentral:rRNA from 2 species
UGGUGCCAGCAGCCGCGGUAAUUCCAGCUCCAAUAGCGUAUAUUAAAGUUGUUGCAGUUAAAAAGCUCGUAGUUGAAUUUCGGGGUCAGUAGGUUGGUCGUGCCACCGGUACGUACUGUCUCACUGAUUCCUCCUUCCUGAAGAACCGUAAUGCCAUUAAUUUGGUGUUGCGGGGAAACAGGACUGUUACUUUGAAAAAAUUAGAGUGUUUAAAGCAAGCUAACGCUUGAAUACAUUAGCAUGGAAUAAUGAAAUAGGACGAUCGAUCCUAUUUUGUUGGUUUCUAGGAUUGACGUAAUGAUUAAUAGGGAUAGUUGGGGGCAUUAGUAUUCAAUUGUCAGAGGUGAAAUUCUUGGAUUUAUUGAAGACUAACUACUGCGAAAGCAUUUGCCAAGGAUGUUUUCAUUAAUCAAGAACGAAAGUUAGGGGAUCGAAGACGAUCAGAUACCGUCGUAGUCUUAACCAUAAACUAUGCCGACUAGGGA